rnacentral:rRNA from 1 species
AGUGAAUAGAUACCCCGGUAGUCCCACGCCGUAAACGAUGCUCGCUAGGUGUCAGGCAUGGCGCGACCGUGUCUGGUGCCGCAGGGAAGCCGUGAAGCGAGCCACCUGGGAAGUACGGCCGCAAGGCUGAAACUUAAAGGAAUUGGCGGGGGAGCACAACAACGGGUGGAGCCUGCGGUUUAAUUGGACUCAACGCCGGACAACUCACCGGGGGUCGACAGCAAUAUGUAGGCCAAGCUGAAGACUUUGCCUGAAUCGCUGAGAGGAGGUGCAUGGCCGUCGCCAGUUCGUACUGUGAAGCAUCCUGUUAAGUCAGGCAACGAGCGAGACCCGUGCCCACUGUUACCAGCAUGUCCUCCGGG